UGACAGGAAAUCUCUGAAUCUCUUCUUCUAUACAUUAAACUUGGGGUUCACUUUUCUAGAGGACCACAAGUUGUUUUGUCAAAGCAGAUGUUGUCUUUUGCACGUGAUUGACCACUUAAUGACUCCGACUCAGCAAGAGAUUAUCCCUGGAUUGCUGCAUCUUCAGGAACUAUGAACUGAUGCCAAUGGGGCCUACAUCUCCGAAUGUGCCAUGGAGCUUGCUUUUUCAGCACCAGCCCUGUGAAACUAACACAGAACAGGAUUACAGAGCUGAGCAAGUGAGGAAGGAGUCAGAGCACUGGACUCUCCAUUUACCAGCACCACAAAGAUGAUAAAACUCUACAGAAACCAGAGCCACUGUGGUUUCUGACUACCAUGUCAUUUUCUGAGCGGUAAUCCCAACCCAACUAGAAACCCUUGAUGGCAUGCCUGUGGUUUUCACAAAGAGCUGCCCCCCAUCCCAAGAGAUGUGUGCCCUGCAGGCCUGCGGCUGGCCACAUGAGAUGCAGCAUGCUUAGCACCUGGUGCUGCUGGUGGCUGUCACCCCUCUAACUUCUCCCAGGGAGGCAUCCAAGGAGUCUCUCUCACACAUAUUGAUCAACCACAGGCACGAGAUAACCAAAAAUGCAAAUAUUGCCCCAGUGUGGUCUUAAGUCAAUAUUUUGAGCUGCUGCCUGGCCUGUUUGAUGACAGCCAGAGGUUGGAGGUCACCUACCUGUUGAUGGUGGCACUGGGAGCACAGGAGGCAGGGUCAGCAAUCAUCCAUGCUACUGUUCAACUAGGUUUGUUUGCUGAUCGAGUCUGUCAGCUACAAAACUCAUUCCGGUCUCUCCUCUGGGAGCUUUCUGCUGAUACAGAAAGAAGGGACGUAGAAAAACCCAGUUCUUCUUACCAACAGCUCCUAUCUUUAGUUCUUCUGAAAUGUCUUUUGACCUUCUUGAAAACUUCUGGGAGAUAAUGGGAAUAAAUCCAGAGGGUUUGUCACUGAACCCAAAAGGUAGUAGGAUUUGGUGGUAAACAGUACAGCUUGUGUCCACUACAUCGGAGAGAGAGGCUAUUUGUGUAAAGCUUUGCAAAGUCUGUGCUGCUGCUCUGCUCCGCAAAGGAAGCCUGGCAUCUAGUGGACGUUUUGCUGUUGCAUCACUUUCACCUUUUUGCUUAGCAGAGCUGACAGCUAGCUACCUAUAUAAAACCUAUACAGAAUUGAGCACCGAUGUCCAAUUCAUGCACACGACUGCAAGUUGUUGUGAGGUGACAAAGUCCAAACUAUUGUUAAAUGUUCGUUCUGAGUCUUUCAUCUGUCUGGCUGCCACUUGGAAAAAUACAUUGGAGCUGCUAUUUUAAGUAGCUCUUCUAUGGGACUUGCUUUUCUGCAGUACAUUGUUUUCCAUGUUUUGUUUUGUUUUGUUCUGUUCUGUUUCCCCACACUGAAUACAAACCUGUGGGGGGAAAAAUCUUAUUUACAACGAAAUUGGUCUGAAUACCUACUCAGAAUGAGAGAAUACAAGAUAGAGUACAGAUAGAAGGUACCAUGGCAAGAACUCACAUCAGUAAGUGUCAAAUACAUUUUUGUGUUUUCAUUAGUUGUUCCAUCAAGAUGCAAGCAAUGUUGAAUUUCUUCUUUCCUUAAAUUUUGAAUUUAACGUGAGCAUUCAGACUACUUCUCUUAAGCACACAUUUAAGUUUCUCUUCCUUCUCUUUCAUGUUAUUCUGAGCUUAAUGGAAGCCAAGUUGUAAGUUAUAACUGCUGUGUGGCACAGUUGCUUUUUUUUUUUUUUUUUUUUUUUUUGAUCUGUUGCUUUCAUUUAGAGCAAUAUUUUGCUGUUAUUAUUCAUGCUAAGUUAUGCAUUACUAUGUACUUAGUCCAAUUAAAAGUAAUGGGAUUAAUUCUGGAAUAAGAUAAUAUGCAGUAUUAACAGAAGGAGAGGACAUGAUCCAUGUGAUUAAAUUAUUUUAUGCUUAUGAAUUAAGUACAAUUCCACAGCAUUUUUAAUGUAUUUCAGAAAAAAAGCUUAAAUUCAUAGUUUUCUCAAAAACGAAUUCAUUCUGAUUACUAUUUCAAUAGAUGGAUCUAAGUCUCUGAAAAAUCAUAGGGAACAAAAAAGUUUUAAACCUGCUAUUCGCUAAGCCUGGCACAAGCCCUCAUUGGCACUUUUCUCCCCCUGGUGGACAUGAGCUCUGCUUGGUUUUUGAAUCAGCCAGCAUCCUUAUCCUGCUUAUGUGUUGGACGACCUGAGUUCUGCAGGAAAUGAAAACCAAUAGUGGACAAAAAUGUAGCACAGAAGUCGUUUUUUACUACAGAUAGCAGUGGUGAGCUAUCACUCUAGAUUGGCUCUGAAGAAAUUAAUGGAACAGUAAUGAGACACUUGACAGGCAGAUGAUAUAACUUGUAUUGUUUUGGUAGGAAAUUUUGACAUGAGUAGAUUGUUUAACCAAAUAUCCAUAGAAAAGACAAAGGCCUAGGAAUAGGCAUUUUAUUAUUCUUGGUCUCUCUAAAGGAGACAAUAUAAUUUAUUUUUUAAUAAAGCUAAGACAGAAGUGAUAGAAAUGUUAAUGAUGUUACUUAGGUAAUUUGAAAACUGAACUGUCAGAAUAGCAGUGAAUUACAAAACAAUGCACCACAGUACUUGCUAGGGAAUCCUUAGCAAACAUCCCUUUGGCUUUUGCAAUGUGUUUGAGUUUAAUGCUACUGUGUCAAUUAAGAGGCAUGUUUGUUUUCAUCCCAAAAGGUUUGUUCUAUUUUAAUUGAAAAUCUCAACAAAGCCUUAAAUGCGAAGCAUGCCUUCACAGCAUGCCUUCAAAAAUACUUAUCCAAUAUUCCCUUUGCUUGGCUCUCCAAGAAGAAGUGAAUUUAAAAUGUGAGAAAUUGAAAAUUUCUCUGGUUCUAUGUGAUACUUGGUCUCCUUUUGUGCUGGUUCUCAUGGUGAAAAAAUAGAUCUUUUGAAAGCACACGGUACAUCAGAAAAAUAAGAA